CGAACGCUGGCGGCGUGCUUAACACAUGCAAGUCGAACGGAAAGGCCCUGCUUGCAGGGUACUCGAGUGGCGAACGGGUGAGUAACACGUGGGUGAUCUGCCCUGCACUUCGGGAUAAGCCUGGGAAACUGGGUCUGAUACCGGAUAGGAGCCAUUUUUAGUGUGAUGGUUGGAAAGUUUUUUCGGUGUAGGAUGAGCUCGCGGCCUAUCAGCUUGUUGGUGGGGUAAUGGCCUACCAAGGCGGCGACGGGUAGCCGGCCUGAGAGGGUGGACGGCCACAUUGGGACUGAGAUACGGCCCAGACUCCUACGGGAGGCAGCAGUGGGGAAUAUUGCACAAUGGGCGCAAGCCUGAUGCAGCGACGCCGCGUGGGGGAUGACGGCCUUCGGGUUGUAAACUCCUUUCGCUAGGGACGAAGCUUUUUGUGACGGUACCUAGAGAAGAAGCACCGGCUAACUACGUG
rnacentral:rRNA from 1 species